CCUUCGAUAGCUCAGUUGGUAGAGCGGUGGACUGUAGACGAUGGCUCGCUGGGAAUUCAGCUCAGAAGUGAUAAAGUCUCUCCAUUCAAUAGAAAUCCAUAGGUCACUGGUUCAAAUCCGGUUCGAAGGA
rnacentral:tRNA from 1 species